CAGUCGCCACGGUAAUACCAGCACCUCGAGUGGUCAGGAGGUUUAUUGGGCCUAAAGCAUCCGUAGCCGGUUGCAUAAGUUUUCGGUUAAAUCUAUGCGCUUAACGUAUAGGCCGCCGAAAAUACUGUGCAGCUAGUGAGUGGGAGAGGUACACGGUACUCGAUAGGAAGGGGUAAAAUCCUUUGAUCUAUUGAUGACCACCUGUGGCGAAGGCGGUGUACCAGAACACGUUCGACGGUGAGGGAUGAAAGCUGGGGGAGCAAACCGGAUUAGAUACCCCAGUAGUCCCUGUCUCUUAUAC
rnacentral:rRNA from 1 species